CAUUCACGACGCCCCUUACUCGCCGUACAGGAAUGCUAUUAAAAGGAUGGACAGAGGUGAGGUCUGCAACCCAUCCCCACUCUCCUCAGAUUCACCGAUUCAAACACCCUCAUCCAUCUUUGGUUCGUGCUGUGUGCUGUCUAGAGGUUUGUAAUUUUGUAACUUUUAUUGAUGAUCCAAUCACCCUCAUCCAUCUUAUUGGUAUUGCAGUCUGUAGAUCUUGGUUGCAUCUGUUUAUUUCAGGUAGAUCUUUAUGUGGUAGUUUUUUUCAACGAUAAACCUUUGUUUCUAUGCUCUGGUUGCAAAAUGUUUUGUUGGGUGCAGUGUGUCAGUCUAUCUUGUUCUGGACAAACUCGCUAUUCUGUUAGUAUCUGAUGCUUUAAUGGCCAUACUUACGCCUAUGCAAUUUGAUUCUCUCUUUUCAACGAUACACCUUAUUUAAUUUUGUAUUGUUUGAAUCAAAACCAUGCAUGAUUGAUUCCAGUGAGUUCUAUUUUAAGUGUUAGUGUGUGGCCCGACAUUUUUCGCUUAAUUGCACUGUGAUAUAUCAUUUGGUCAGCUAUUUCCUGUUUUUUAAGCCUAUCCGUUUCGUGGUUUAAGCAAGUUAACCAAACACUAAUCAAAAGAUUCAAAACUAUAAGAACCAAAGAGCAUUUUGUGUUUUGCAGGAAGCAAAUAGGAUUGAUAUUUCAUUCAAGCGAAUGUCAUUAACGUUUUAGUGUUUAGAUACUAAGGUUUAUACCUCCUUGAUGAUGGCUUAACUUUAUUAGUGUGGUUAGGUAGGAUGCUCUCGCAUGAACUUGUGAACAACAUUCUUGGAGUGACUGAGUAAGCUUGGCGAACUUCCCUGACCAAUCAAAGCGUGAUCCGGCCCAGAGGUGAUUCCGAAGGUCUUGGAAAUCAGCGGCGAGCGCAACCUCAUCGACAACUUCUUCUUCUACCACGUGUAAUAAUCACGGUACACAAGUUUGAUUCAAACCUAAAAUGAGGUGGUUAUGUUUAUGCUUUUAUUAUGAAGUUUUGAUUUAUUUCAGUUGCAUGGUUUUGAUUUAUUUCAUGAUUAAGAAAGCAUAUUUCAUGUUAUAAACCUCAAAUCUAUGUUUUUUUGGUUUAUUUUUCUACUUUGUUUCAUACUUCCUUCAAAUGUGGAGAUUUACAUGGCUUUUUUUAUGUUUUGAUUUAUUUCAAACAUAUUUGUAACUAUGAUCAAUACUAUAAGAUCAAUGGCACCAUCUACACUUAACCAACAUAGGUCGGUUGCAGCCCUACAUCACGUCCCUACAAAGUUUCCUUUCGUGUUAUUUGAUGACGUUGAGAGCGAUGACUUACCAAAAUUUAAGAGUAUCGUAGCCAGAAUCGUUGUUAAGUUCCCUAGACGUCAUGACAGCCAACAUUUUAUUCUACAAGACAUCACUGGGUCAAAAAUAGAAGCAAUUUCAUACUGCGAUAAUGUCCAAAGAUUUGACACCUUACACCAACAAGGAUCUACAUAUACAUUAUAUGGAGUGGCGUUCUAUGUAAGCUGGGGGCCGUAUCUAUUUCGGAAUUUUGGACAUAGGCUAGAAUUGACCUUGGCAACUCGGACUGUUGUGGAACCAUUCCACUUGCCAAUUCAGUUCCCGCCGUAUCCAAAACAUCUUAUGCCAUUUCAUGAGGUCCUCCAACAACCUCAUAAGAGGUUUAUAGAUGUAAUAGGAAUUGUCAUUCAUUUGGCGCCGUUAGAGCACAUCGGUGGAAGGCCGUACAGAGAGGCCAUACUAAUGGAUUCCAGGUCAUUAAUUUAUAACUACAAUCUUUUUUAAACUGCAGACGUGUUAUAUUUUAUUCAAACAAUACAAGCUUUAUUUAUAGGUGGGAUAUAAUCAUCGUGGGUAUAUGGCCUGAACUGUUGCAAAGAAAUGCUCUACGGUGGGUGUUAGCUAGAGAAAACAAGAGCAUAAUUAUCGGAACUAUGCUGCGUCGUAAUAAGCUACACAGUAAAUUAUAUUAUCCUUAAACAUCUUUGUUGGAGUAAACUCAAUGACCUUCUUUAGUAACUAAGUCUACUACUAUAACAAUAGGAUGCUUGCAAACCUCAGACCAUAGCACUGUUGAAUUCGAUCCAGAUCAUCACACCACACAACGGUUGCAGACAAUUCGGCGCUCCAUGAUCCAAAAUCCGAGGAGUGCUUUAAUCAACAAUUAUCUAGAGAGGAGACGUGCUUAUCUGGCAACAGUGGUUCCGGAUGUGUAGUGUGAUAGCUUGUUAUCAACUAAAGAUGGUCACAAUUAUUUGUAUUUCGCCGUUUAUGUAUUAAAAACUGGCUCUUUGUUGUGUUGAAUUCGAUACGUAUAAUGUUAUCAAA